AUCCAGACUCCUACGGGAGGCAGCAGUGGGGAAUAUUGCACAAUGGGGGGAACCCUGAUGCAGCGACGCCGCGUGGGUGAAGGAGCACCUCGGUGCGUAAAGCCCUAUCGGCAGGGAAGAAACAGACGGUACCUGACUAAGAAGCCCCGGCUAACUACGUGCCAGCAGCCGCGGUAAUACGUAGGGGGCAAGCGUUAUCCGGAUUCACUGGGUGUAAAGGGAGCGUAGACGGCCAUGCAAGCCUGGAGUGAAAGCCCGGGGCCCAACCCCGGGACUGCUCUGGGAACUGUGCGGCUGGAGUGCGGGAGGGGCAGGCGGAAUUCCUGGUGUAGCGGUGAAAUGCGUAGAUAUCAGGAGGAACACCGGCGGCGAAGGCGGCCUGCUGGACCGCGACUGACGUUGAGGCUCGAAAGCGUGGGGAGCAAACAGGAUUAGAUACCCUUGUAGCA
rnacentral:rRNA from 1 species